rnacentral:lncRNA from 1 species
GAUGACCAAGUAGAAUGAGAUGAGAAGUACGAAGUUUUCAAUCUGAAAGACAACCUUAAAACUAAACGGGCAAAGGCCAUCUAUGCACAGGCGCUUGGUGGUUAAUUAUAUCAAUCAAGAUUAUAAAAAUACAACCAUUUUCUAUCGGUGGUGUCGAAGUUAAGUGUAGAAAUGAAGGCCUAGUAGUCGUAGGAAUAGCUUGGCAUGAAGUGUGGACUCUAUGUUACAUGGAAACGGAAGCGGGUACGUGGAAGCGGAAGCGUAUGGAAGCGCAGAAGCGAGAUUUUUAAAAAAAUUAGGAAGCGGAUACGUGUUGGAAGCGUAUCCAUAUAUAUAUAUAUAUAUAUGUAAGACUAAAAAUUAAAAAUUGGAAUAUAUAUACAUAUGUAAGAUUAUUUUUAAAAAUCUAAAACUAAAAUUUAUAUGAUUUAAAUUUAAAAUAAAGCAUUUAUUCAUUUAUAAUAAUUUUGAAAUAACUUCAUAUUUAAACUGUGAAAAUACACAUAAAUUAAAUAAAAUAAAUAAUAUUAUAUUUUUGUAAUUCUUUAUAAUUAAUUGACAUAAUAUAUUUGAAUAUAUGAUUUAUCUUUAAUAAAAACCUCAAUGCAUAAAGAUAAUUUAUAGUAUUAGUUUUAAUAUUUGUAUAUUUCUAUUCUCUCUAUUCAAUACUAUUAAAAUUUGGAUUAUAUAUAAAUUAAAAACUAUAAUUUUAUAUUCUUAUUGAUAUAAGACAUUAUGUUUAAAAAAAAAUGGAAGCGUGAUUCCAAAACGGAAUCGUAAGUUUCCAAUAUGUUUUUAAAGAUAAUAUUUUAGAAGCGUUUUGGAAGCGAGAUUCCGUAAGCUUCCACAAGGUUCCGAUUCCGAUUCCGGUUCCGAAGCGGGAAGCGGACGUCCGAUGAAGCUUCCGUGCAACGUAGGUGUGGAGUAAAACAGUGGAAACUAAUAAUAAUGUAAUGGAAAACAUGUUGACCAAAUAUAAAUAAGGACAAAUGUCACCUGUUUGGAAAGCAUGCUGUUUUGUUCCUGUAUCGCCUU